CAGUAGCCGGGUAAUACGGAGGGUGCAAGCGUUAAUCGGAAUUACUGGGCGUAAAGCGCACGCAGGCGGUCUGACAAGUCAGAUGUGAAAUCCCCGGGCUUAACCUGGGAACUGCAUUUGAAACUGUCAGGCUGGAGUCUUGUAGAGGGGGGUAGAAUUCCAGGUGUAGCGGUGAAAUGCGUAGAGAUCUGGAGGAAUACCGGUGGCGAAGGCGGCCCCCUGGACAAAGACUGACGCUCAGGUGCGAAAGCGUGGGGAGCAAACAGGAUUAGAUACCCCAGUAGUCCCUGUCUCUUAUACC
rnacentral:rRNA from 1 species